rnacentral:lncRNA from 1 species
UUUUAGGAUAACCACGAAUCAAGAAGUUUUCCAAUACAGGUGUUUUUUAGUGGCUCGAGUAUAACUCCUUUGUACAUUAAUUAUCUUCCCGCUGACAAAAGAAUUGCCAAUAAUGGUAUUUAUCUCCCUUACAAGAGGUUGGUGGUUUGGAGACUUUAAAGAUGCAUAUGGAGGUCCUUCAUAUCGUGGCCUUGUUUCUCGAACUAAUCCUCUUUUGCCUAUAUAAGAGGGCUUUCAAUUCUCAAGAACUUCACAUAUUCCUCCAUGUCGGCUCCAUACCUUGGCCAUUUCGAUCAAUUUGGUGUGUUUAUCUAUGUCAUGAUCUCUGACAUGGUGAAAUUUACAAAUUAUAGUUUGUGGAUCUUAUGGGACAGAUAAUGUGCUUUGCAAACUGCUUGCGAAAGAGCUGAUACAAUUAUAUGCAAUUUAUUGUGCUCGUCGA